rnacentral:rRNA from 1 species
UACGUAGGUGGCAAGCGUUGUCCGGAUUUACUGGGCGUAAAGAGCGCGCAGGCGGUUGAUUAAGUCGAAUGUGAAAGCCCCCGGCUCAACUGGGGAGGGUCAUUCGAUACUGAUCGACUUGAAGGCAGGAGAGAGAAGUGGAAUUCCCGGUGUAGUGGUGAAAUGCGUAGAUAUCGGGAGGAACACCAGUGGCGAAGGCGGCAUCCUGGACCGGCAUUGACGCUGAGGCGCGAAAGCCAGGGGAGCAAACGGG